CUAAGCUGGACACCUUUUAAUGGAGUCCUGACCUGACCAGAGGAGCUAUUAGAGGGCAGGUGUUAUAGUGCCUGCUGGAUUUAGAAUCAGAAGACUUGGGCUUGAAUCCCAGAUUUGCCACUCACCACCUGUGAGGUCUGAGACUUAAGAAGCAAAAAGAAUUCAAAGUCUUGUAGACUCCUCAAAAGCCUUACUCCUAGGUGGUAUGAAUGCUUUCUUCAACAAGUGAAGACCUAGAACUGGCAAGAACAAAAGUACAACCCAAACAAAAAGAAAUUAAGUGAUUCCUGAAGUGGGAAUUAGUCAAAAUCCAUCAUCUAGAGGCAGAGUCAAGAUGGCGGCAUAGAGGGAGCGAAAGUUCAGACCUCCGAAAACCCUUCUUCGCCAAUUAUAAACCAAAUGUUCCUAGGGGGCUGAAAAUCAAACCCAACAACAGGACAGAGCUAAGGAACCCUCCUGCUGGACUCAACUUAAAAGGAAUAAUAAAGUGGAAGAAUUCCAUGGAGACUGGAACAACCUCCAGGAAGUGAUGCAGAGCGAAAGGAGCAGAGCCAGGAGAAUAUUGUACACAGAGACUGAUAUACUUUGGUACAAUCGAAUGUAGUGGACUUCUCCAUUAGUGGCAAUGCAGUGAUCCUGAACAACUCAGAGGGAUCUAUGAGAACAGACACUAUCCACAUUCAGGGGAAAAACUGUGGGAGUGGAAACACUGAAGAAAAACAACUGCUUGAUUACAUGGGUUGAGGGGAUAUGAUUGGGGAUGUAGACUGGCUGAAAAUCCUAGUGCAAACAUCAACAACAGAAAUGGGAUAUGAUCAAAGACACAUGUAAUACCCAGUGAUAUUGUGCAUUGGCUAUGUAA